AGCUUCCAAGCCUCGGGGUCGAAACCACUGUCUCCUGUGUGAGAUACGUUUCGAACUGGAGCUCUGCCAUUAUGGCUCCACCAUGUGGUCGACACCUCUGUCUCCUGCGAGAGAUACGUGUCGGCCCGGAGCUCCGUCAUUAAACUACCUCAAGCUUUUACAUCAAGAUGGUCGUCUGUUCGUGACUCUUGGGUGCACGCUAAAUCGAGAAUUGAGUGGGGGUUUCCCCACUAGGUUCUUUCAGUCUACAGAGAAGGAAGCCCUGAGAGAAUGAAAUACUUUCUGAAUGUGUGCCUUUGACAUGUCCUUGACCCAUGAGACAAUGGCACACACAAUCUAACAGCUUUCUUUUCCCAGGUAUUUACAGCCUGAAGACUACUCCCAUACAGAGACUGCUCCUACUGAGAUCAGCUAAACCUGCCUUCUUCAUCCAGGUCUGUGCAAUAACCCUGCCUUUGUUUAUGUGUGUUUCAUAAAUAACUCCUUGAUCAUCUUUGUUCAUCUAAUAUAGAGAUGAACAUCCUUGUUCACCUCUAGAAUAACAGCUUGAGCUGCCAGGGUCCUGCAGUCUGUCCAUCAGAGUCCAAUCAACCUGAUCCCACCCUUCCUGUCUGUGUGUUUGUGUGUUUAUCUUUUCUUCAUUUCCAUCACCAUCCUAGCCCUGUCCAUCCCUGGAUAUCUGCUGGGUGCAGCAGCAACCUGGCAAGAGGAAUGUGAGAAAAGAAGACUUCAUCUCUGUGUUAGUUUCAGGGGAAGGCAUGGCAGCAGGAAUGGAGGCAGCUGGUCUUGCUGCACCCACACUCAGGAAGCAUCAAGGCAGGACUGAUGGGGUUCAUCUUUGUUGCAAGAUUUUCCCUGUCCAAUUUCAUUAGUGUAGAGGAGGCCUGUGAUUGGACAGGCAAAAGGGAGGCAGAGCUAAGUGAUGCAGAGACAGCAUAUCAGGAGAGAGGAGGGGAGAGGGAGAAUGGAGGCAGAUGUGAACCAGCGUGGCUUGAACCAGCCACGGGUAGUUAUGAUAUCAUAAUGUUAGAAUAAUUGGGAUAAAGCUUUUAUCAUUAUCAAUUGACUCUGAUACAUAAAUCUGAUUGGUUAACUGUAAGCUUUAAGAGUUUUUAUUUUACCGGGUUGCUGGAAGUUGUGAUAUCUAACCACAAGGCUGACAGUUCAAUUUGGUUACUGGGAUAUGGGACAGAGUCAGCGGGACCCCAUGGGGCACAGUGUUGUGGCCAGCCAGUGCUAGCACUAGAGUGGGAAUGUGCCUGCUCUUUUUAUUUUUAUUUUUUUUAAAGAUGUAUUUAUUUAUUAUAUGAAAGUACACUGUAGCUGUUUUCAGACAGACACCCUAGAAGAGGACAUCAGAUCUCAUUACAGAUGGUUGUGAGCCAACAUGUGGUUGCUGGGAUUUGAACUCAGGAUCUUUAGAAGAACAGUCAGUGCUCUUAACCACUGAGCUAUCUCUCCAGCCCCGUCUGCUCUUUUUAAAUAUUUACCGCAACACCUUUUUCUCUAUUCUGUUUCCAUCCAGGACCCCAAGCUCAUGAAGCAGUGCCACCUACAUUCAGAGAAGGUCUUCCUGCCUCAACUCAUUCUAGAACCUUCCUCACAGACAUUCCCUGGGCUUUGUCUUUGGGUGAUUCUGGAUCCAGUCACGUUAAUAGUCAAUAUUAACCACUACAGUGUAUAAAAUAAAAUGUGUUUAAAAGCAUAAUCA
rnacentral:lncRNA from 1 species